rnacentral:tRNA from 3 species
GCCAGGAUGGCCGAACGGUAAGGCGCACGCCUGGAAAGCGUGUUCCCUUAUGGGAUUCUGGGUUCAAAUCCCAGUCCUGGCG